rnacentral:rRNA from 1 species
GCUAACGUUGGCGGCGUGCCUAACACAUGCAAGUCUAAGGGGAAAGCCCGCAAGGGUGAGUACGCUGGCGCACGGGUGAGUAACACGUGGAUAACCUACCUUACGGCCUGGGAUAACCUCGGGAAACCGAGAACAAUACCAGAUGAUGUACGGUGUCCUUCGGGAUGUCGUAUGAAAGACGGUGAAAGCUGUCACCGAAAGACGGGUCCGCGUCCCAUUAGCUAGUUGGCGAGGUAACGGCUCACCAAGGCGACGAUGGGUAGCUGGUCUGAGAGGAUGACCAGCCACACUGGCACUGGAACACGGGCCAGACUCCUACGGGAGGCAGCAGUGAGGAAUAUUGCGCAAUGGGCGAAAGCCUGACGCAGCGACGCCGCGUGAGGGAUGAAGGCCUUCGGGUUGUAAACCUCUGUCGGAAGGGAAGAAUAAGGCGUACUUAACUACUACGUCGAUGACGGUACCUUCAAAGGAAGCACCGGCUAACUCCGUGCCAGCAGCCGCGGUAAUACGGAGGGUGCAAACGUUGCUCGGAAUUACUGGGCGUAAAGGGGGCGCAGGCGGAUUCGCAAGUCAGAUGUGAAAGCCCACGGCUUAACCGUGGAAGUGCAUUUGAAACUGCGUGUCUAGAGUGAGACAGAGAGAAGCGGAAUUCCCGGUGUAGCGGUGAAAUGCGUUGAUAUCGGGAGGAACACCUGUAGCGAAGGCGGCUUCUUGGGUCUUUACUGACGCUCAUGCCAGAAAGCGUCGGGUAGCAAGCAGGAUUAGAUACCCUGGUAGUCCACGCCCUAAACGAUGAGUACUAGACGUCAGAGGAGUUAACCCCUUUGGUGUCAAAGCUAACGCGUUAAGUACUCCGCCUGGGGAUUACGGCCGCAAGGCUAAAACUCAAAGGAAUUGACGGGGACCCGCACAAGCGGUGGAGCAUGUGGUUUAAUUCGACGAUACGCGAAGAACCUUACCUGGGUUUGACAUCAUAGGGAAUCCGGCCGAGAAGCUGGAGUGCCUUCGGGAGCCCUAUGACAGGUGCUGCACGGCUGUCGUCAGCUCGUGUCGUGAGAUGUUGGGUUAAGUCCCGCAACGAGCGCAACCCCUGUCUCUAUUUGCCAACAGCUAGGCUGGGAACUAUAGAGAGGUUGCCCCGGUAACGGGGAUGAAAGAGGGGACGACGUCAAGUCCUCAUGGCCCUUACGCCCAGGGCUACACACGUGCUACAAUGGCCGGUACAGAGGGUUGCGAAGCCGCGAGGUGUAGCCAAUCCCAGAAAACCGGUCCCAGUUCGGAUUGUAGUCUGCAACUCGACUGCAUGAAGCCGGAAUCGCUAGUAAUCGCGGAUCAGCUACGCCGCGGUGAAUACGUUCCCGGGUCUUGUACACACCGCCCGUCACACCACGAGAAUCGGUUGAACUGGAAGUAGGUGCUCUAACCUUCGGGAAGAAGCCUACCAAGGUUUGCCCGGUGAUUGGGGUG